UGCAACUUGAGAGAGGGAAGCAGGCGUGAGCAAAAUAAGACAAAUUUUGAGGCCUAGCCCAAGCUAAUGGUAUUAGCUAACAUUCAUUUGCGACGUUGUUUUCUUCAAAUAUAUAGCAAUGUCGAUCAGUUGUCUAACAAAGGAUGAUCUCUGAAUUAAUCGGUUCACGAAACUGAUCAAAACAAAGGCUGUACACGGACUGCUGAAUGAUUGGAAGCAAACACUGGCUAUUUCAAUGCACUUUUAACCCAUUUGUCUAUUCAGAGUUAUUUUCCUUAGUCGUUAGUAGCCUAAGUAUGGAUUGAAUCUUGCUUUAUCUCACACCACACUUGUAAAAUAUUGUCUUGCAUAUAGAAUUAACUAACCAGCGUCAACAUAACUUCAUAGGCCUAAUUCGUUAUAUCAAAUCCAACAAUUAAUAAAUGAUGAACCUAUAGGCCUAUGUUUAGCUUCCUAGAUGCAGUAUGCUUCCUAAGAUCUCUUGCAGCAAAACUAUGACCUGUCAGUGGGGCCUGGAAACUAUUGUUGCUGUGAGAGUUGAAUGACCAGCAUGCCAACAGCGCAGGGCUUCAGACCAUCAAGAGAGUGAGGGGAAGUAGUCUGCCAGUGAGGGAAGUACCAACCGGAGACAACGAUUUAAAAUGACAGUUACACUGCUAUGCCCUCCUCUGUGGCAGGGGCGAGGGUUCUCCAUGCCAGAUGUUUGGCCAGAAGCGAACACCUGUUGGAUGCCAUUUUGAGCUGAUGAAGAUGAAGAUGAUGCUGGCCAACUUCGAUGCUAACUGGCUGAAGCUAACCCUCUGAAUGCUGACCCCCGGGUUACUCUCUGCUCCUGCACCAUGACCUCGUGGGAAGUGAAUCUUUGGACAGGCUCGCCCACGGUCACGGCUGAUCACUUGCACAGCUGCGGUUGAAUGCUCCCGAGAUUAUUUAUGGUUGCAGAUGUCUCAACAGAGAAGAUAAACAUGGAGCAAUGUACGAUAUUCUACAUUCGUGCCUCUUUGAUUAAACGCUAAUGCAAUCGAUCACUGAACCAGUGAAGAUGGAA